AUUGAACGCUGGCGGCAUGCCUUACACAUGCAAGUCGAACGGCAGCACGGGUGCUUGCACCUGGUGGCGAGUGGCGAACGGGUGAGUAAUACAUCGGAACGUACCUUAUCGUGGGGGAUAACGCAGCGAAAGUUGCGCUAAUACCGCAUACGCCCUGAGGGGGAAAGCGGGGGACCGUAAGGCCUCGCGCGAUUAGAGAGGCCGAUGUCUGAUUAGCUUGUUGGUGAGGUAAAAGCUCACCAAGGCGAUGAUCAGUAGCUGGUCUGAGAGGACGAUCAGCCACACUGGGACUGAGACACGGCCCAGACUCCUACGGGAGGCAGCAGUGGGGAAUUUUGGACAAUGGGGGCAACCCUGAUCCAGCAAUGCCGCGUGAGUGAAGAAGGCCUUCGGGUUGUAAAGCUCUUUUGUCAGGGAAGAAACAGCAGCUCUAACACAGUCUGCGAAUGACGGUACCUGAAGAAUAAGCACCGGCUAACUACGUGCCAGCCGCCGCGGUAA
rnacentral:rRNA from 1 species